UGGAUAGAUAGAUAAAGAUAUAUACACUAGUUGAUCUGACCGAAAAAUAAAGGGUGAAAUUCUACAAAAUGACUUUUCGUUUCGACCGCCUCUCUCUUUUCUGUAUUUUUAUAAUUGCUAUGGUUUUGCUUUCAGCAGCAUCUGUGAAGUCUCAAGAUCGCGAGCCAAAUAAAUGCAUACGUAGAAGAUGCACAGAUUUAGGAGACAAUCCAAUUUGUAAUAAAACUUGCAUUGAUAUGGGUUUCAAAUCUGGUGGCAGAUGUGUUUAUAAUACUCCAUGGAAUGCGAGAUGCUGUUGUUUCGAAAACUAAGAAAGAGUUAUUGUAAUUUAUAACCAUCAAAAUAAUAAAUAAAUAACUCUCCCUUUUCUAUUAUACAUUGCUUGAAGAAAAAUGCUGUUAUGAAAUAAAAAAUUAUUUACUUUUAUUUUUA